rnacentral:misc_RNA from 1 species
GAUGAAGAACGCAGCGAAAUGCGAUAAGUAGUGUGAAUUGCAGAAUUCAGUGAAUCAUCGAAUCUUUGAACGCACAUUGCGCCCCUUGGUAUUCCAUGGGGCAUGCCUGUUCGAGCGUCAUUUGUACCUUCAAGCUCUGCUUGGUGUUGGGUGUUUGUCUCGCCUCUGCGUGUAGACUCGCCUCAAAACAAUUGGCAGCCGGCGUAUUGAUUUCGGAGCGCAGUACAUCUCGCGCUUUGCACUCAUAACGACGACGUCCAAAAGAACAUUUUUACACUCUUGACCUCGGAUCAGGUAGGGAUACCCGCUGAACUUAAGCAUAUCAAUAAGCGGAGGA